UACGUAGGGUGCAAGCGUUAAUCGGAAUUACUGGACGUAAAGCGUGCGCAGGCGGUUUUGUAAGUUUGUCGUGAAAGCCCCGGGCUCAACCUGGGAAUUGCGAUGAAGACUGCAAGGCUUGAAUCUGGCAGAGGGGGGUAGAAUUCCACGUGUAGCAGUGAAAUGCGUAGAGAUGUGGAGGAACACCGAUGGCGAAGGCAGCCCCCUGGGUUAACACUGACGCUCAGGCACGAAAGCGUGGGGAGCAAACAGG
rnacentral:rRNA from 1 species